rnacentral:rRNA from 1 species
CCCUUAGAUGUUCUGGGCCGCACGCGCGCUACACUGAUGCAUGCAACAAGUCUUUUCCUUGGCCGAAAGGCCUGGGCAAUCUUUGAAUAUGCAUCGUGAUGGGGAUAGACGAUUGCAAUUAUUCGUCUUCAACGAGGAAUUCCUAGUAAACGCAAGUCAUCAGCUUGCAUUGAUUACGUCCCUGCCCUUUGUACACACCGCCCGUCGCACCUACCGAUUGAAUGGUCCGGUGAAGGCUUCGGAGGCGGCUUUCUCAAUGUUUAUUCGGCGAGACUGCUGCCAAAGUUGAAUGAACCUUACCAUUUAGAGGAAGGUGAAGUCGUAACA